rnacentral:rRNA from 1 species
GCUUGUCUCAAAGAUUAAGCCAUGCAUGUCUAAGUUUAAAUAGUAAACAGUGAAACUGCGAAUGGCUCAUUACAUCAGUUUUAACAUACAUGAUAGUCACUUCUACUUGGAUAACCGUAGUAAUUCUAGAGCUAAUACAUGCGUAAAGGUAGCCGCAAGGCCGCUGUGUUUAUUAGAUACAACCGACCUCCUUCUGGAGCCUUUUGUCGACUCAUAGUAACUUCUCGAAUCGGAGGCUUGCCUCCGAUAGUUCAUUCAAAUUUCUGCCCUAUCAGCUUUCGACGGUAGUGUAGUGGACUACCGUGGCGUUAACGGGUAACGGAGAAUUAGGGUUCGAUUCCGGAGAGGGAGCCUGAGAAACGGCUACCACAUCCAAGGAAGGCAGCAGG